UGAAUAGUUUUAGGUGCAUUUAUGUACAUUUUCACUUGCAUUUAUGUUCUUUUGUUACCUUAUUUAGGCUAUUGACUAUUUUCAAUUUUAUUUAACUGUACAUCAUAGGAAAGAUCCAAGGUUGCAGUUGAAAAUAGAUCGCAAUGAGAGUUUACCUAUUUUUUUGGUUCUAGAUUCUUUAUUCGAUAUCAAGCUAUAGAGGUAUAUAAGAAGUUAAAAAUAUCCAUUUAUGUUGGGAAAUAAUUUCAAUUCAAUUAAAUCUUAUUCUUCUUAAAAUAGGAUAAUAGAAUUGGACGACCAGACAUAAUUCAAUUAUGGAAAAACACACAUUAUGAGGAUAUUAAAUGCUAGAUCCAUCCGUGUGGUUGAGAAAUAUGUAAUGAACAAAUAUUUAUGUAUUUACUUUAACUUUAUUAUUACUAGAAUAAAUAUUUUACCGUCAUAUUUGUAUUAAUAAUUUUCUAUUGUCAUGCAGAAGGAGAUAAUAGACAUACAAAUCACAUAAGAGGCACAUGUUGAGGAAGGAGAGUGAGAGUCAAGGAGUAUAGCUCACUGCUGAUGAAAUCGCGACUCAAGUCCUUGGCACUAUUUCUUGCUACUUUAGGGGAUUGGGUAGGGGCCCAAAGAUUCCACGUGCUACAUCUCGCAUGAACACAACACAACACAACAAGAGAAUGCUAAACUUCGCCAAGUCAUGCAUAACUUGUAGAGCUGGAAUGAGCGUAUCCUCGCCUUUUGAGAGGAGAUAAUGAUAGGUGUUACUGCAAGAAUCCUUGGCACUAUUUCUUGCUACUAUAGGGGAUUGGGUAGGGGCCCAAAGAUUCCACGUGCUACAUUUAGCACGAACACAACACAACAAGAGAAUGCUAAACUUCGCCAAGCCAUGCAUAACUUGUAGAGCUGGAAUGAGCGUAUUCUCGCCUUUUGAGAGGAGAUAAUGCCAGAUGUUAUUGCUAGAAUCCUUGGCACUAUUUCUUGCUACUAUAGGGGAUUGGGUAGGGGCCCAAAGAUUCCACGUGCUACAUCUCUCAUGAACACAAUAAGAGAAUGCUAAACUUCGCCAAGUCAUGCAUAACUUGUAGAGUUGGAAUGAGCGUAUUCUCGCCUUUUGAGAGGAGAUAAUGCCGGGUGUUACUGCAAGAAUAUCAGCCCAAGAGUGCCCACUACUCAUCCAUCAACAUCACUUGAUCAUGAGUCACAUGAUGAUCAUUAAUUUAAAGUUCUUCAUUGCAUUUACAUGUUUUUAAAUCUUUAUGGUUGAUACUCUAUUAUUGCAUAUGCUACUAUUUUUUACUACACUAGUCUUCUCAUUUUUGGAUCUUGACUAGGUUUUUUUAUUGCCUGUUAUUAUUUUGGACUACACCUGCAAAUAUAGUUACUCAUAUUUUGGAAUUAGAAGUGAAUUAUAAAGGUACAAUAUAUUAUUUUACCUUGUACAGAUGGUUUGUUGGCUUUUGAAUUAUG
rnacentral:lncRNA from 1 species